UACGUAGGGCGCAAGCGUUGUCCGGAUUUAUUGGGCGUAAAGAGCUCGUAGGCGGUCUGUCGCGUCGGCUGUGAAAACCCGAGGCUCAACCUCGGGCCUGCAGUCGAUACGGGCAGACUAGAGUGUGGCAGGGGAGACUGGAAUUCCUGGUGUAGCGGUGAAAUGCGCAGAUAUCAGGAGGAACACCGGUGGCGAAGGCGGGUCUCUGGGCCAUAACUGACGCUGGAGGAGCGAAAGCGUGGGGAGCGAACAGG
rnacentral:rRNA from 1 species